rnacentral:rRNA from 1 species
CCUACGGGGGGCUGCAGUGGGGAAUAUUGCACAAUGGGCGCAAGCCUGAUGCAGCGACGCCGCGUGAGGGAUGACGGCCUUCGGGUUGUAAACCUCUUUCAGCACAGACGAAGCGCAAGUGACGGUAUGUGCAGAAGAAGGACCGGCCAACUACGUGCCAGCAGCCGCGGUAAUACGUAGGGUCCGAGCGUUGUCCGGAAUUACUGGGCGUAAAGAGCUCGUAGGUGGUUUGUCGCGUUGUCCGUGAAAACUCACAGCUCAACUGUGGGCGUGCGGGCGAUACGGGCAGACUGGAGUACUGCAGGGGAGACUGGAAUUCCUGGUGUAGCGGUGGAAUGCGCAGAUAUCAGGAGGAACACCGGUGGCGAAGGCGGGUCUCUGGGCAGUAACUGACGCUGAGGAGCGAAAGCGUGGGGAGCGAACAGGAUUAGAUACCCGUGUAGUCAU